rnacentral:rRNA from 1 species
AGCUAGUUGGUGAGGUAACGGCUCACCAAGGCGACGAUACAUAGCCGACCUGAGAGGGUGAUCGGCCACACUGGGACUGAGACACGGCCCAGACUCCUACGGGAGGCAGCAGUAGGGAAUCUUCGGCAAUGGGGGGAACCCUGACCGAGCAACGCCGCGUGAGUGAAGAAGGUUUUCGGAUCGUAAAGCUCUGUUGUAAGAGAAGAACGGGUGUGAGAGU